rnacentral:rRNA from 1 species
UACGUAGGCAGCAAGCGUUGUUCGGAAUUACUGGGCUUAAAGCGUGUGUAGGCGGGUCGUUAAGUGUCUUGUGAAAUCCCACCGCUCAACGGUGGAACGGCUGGGCAUACUGGCGACCUUGAGGGACCCAGGGGCGAGCGGAACAAGCGGUGGAGCGGUGAAAUGCGUAGAUAUCGCUUGGAACGCCGACGGUGAAAACAGCUCGCUGGGGGUCACCUGACGCUGAGACACGAAAGCCAGGGGAGCGAACGGG